UGAGGCUUGGAGUAUCGACUUGGAUAAGCUUGAAUCGUAUUAUUGGACCCUGUGAAGGUGAGCCCUAGAAUUGGUGGACUUGGAGCUGGGCGGGAUUCAGAGUGGCCAUGAAGAUUGAUUGACGAUUUUAAAUAAGUUUAGCCUUUAAUUUGGAUUAUUUUAUUUUUAUUAUGCUUAAAGUUGUAAUAAGGCCGCUAUUUUUAAUUAAUUUUAUUUUGGGGAUUAUUAAACUGGCUAGCACUAGGGUUCGUUUUAUAAAA